GCCUGAGUGGCUCAGUCGGUUAAGCAUCUGACUUCAGCUCAGGUCAUGAUCUCAUGGUUUGUGGGUUUGAGCCCCGCGUUGGGCU
rnacentral:tRNA from 1 species